GGGGGGCUUCUGGAACAUGACAGUAUCCUGGAAAAGAGCUUCCUGCAGCUGCACUUCAGAGUGAAGGUUUAUGGCCCCCUGUGUGGACACACAGCAGAAAGAGAUGUGGCUACAGAUAAAUAUACUCUUUCAGCAACAGGAUCCCAGCUGGCCUCUGGACUCUGUCUCUGUCCCCUUCCACUUCUGGUCAGACCUUGAAGUGCAGUGGAACCGGCAAACCGACUGGACAACGUCACUCGCAACCGCUUCUACACACCAAACAACAGUAGCCAUGGAAACACACAUAUUUGUUUCUAGCUCUUCAUCAUGAAGGAAAUCAUUAGAUGUAAUGAUUUUUUUUAAAUCCACACUAAUUUAACAAAAGAGACCCAGAAUUUAAAAAAACGUUUUAACACAAUGUACAUUGAUAACAGUGUAAUAAAGCUUGCCUUUUGCUCUUUUGCAGCUGGAAGGAAUAAAUAAAACAUAGGAGGCCAUAACGAUUUUGUUUGAUAAACCAUGAGUGCCAUGAAAAAAAUAUAGCUAAAUUGGUGAAAUCAAAAAAGGUCACUUGUCAAAAUCAAAUCAGUAUGCAUACCCAAAACACUGGGAAUAUUGAACAGAUACUGUGAGUGCUUCAUCAUCAAACAUUUUUAUUUCACUUCUGUGUCUUACAUUCUCUUUAUUCGCUUCCCUCGUCCCCUGUGACUUCCGUGUAUUUUGUCCCUGCAAAUCCAGGAAGACAUUCCAUUGCUUAAACAUGCAAUAAAACCAUGAACAACCA